rnacentral:rRNA from 1 species
UACGAAGGGUGCAACCGUUGCUCGGAUUUAUUGGGCGUAAAGAGCGUGUAGGCGGCCAUACAGGUCCGUUGUGAAAACUGGAGGCUUAACCUCCAGACGUCGAUGGAAACCGUAUGGCUAGAGUCCGGAAGAGGAGAGUGGAAUUCCUGGUGUAGCGGUGAAAUGCGCAGAUAUCAGGAAGAACACCCGUGGCGAAGGCGGCUCUCUGGGACGGUACUGACGCUGAGACGCGAAAGCGUGGGGAGCGAACAGG